AGCCACCACGCCCGGCCGGCGCCAGCCCUCUCUAUCAUGACCGGGAAAGUUUAAAAUCUUGACCAAUUAAUAUAGUUAGAUUAUGAAAGAAAUAGAGCAGAAAUGGAGAUUUUUCAAAGAACUGGAAAUAAAACUACCAUUCAAUCCAGCAAUCCCACAACUGGGUAUAUAAGCAAAGGGAAAUAAACCGUAUAGAAAAAGAUACUUGCACUCGUACAUUUAUCACAGCACAAUUCACAAUAGCAAGACCUGGAAUCAAGUGUCCGUCAGUGGAUAACUGGAUAAAGAGUGGUAUAUAUACAUCCCAUGGAAUAUACUCUGCCAUAAAAAGAAUAUCAUGUCUUUUACAGCAAUGCAAAGAGAAUUGAAAGUCAGUAGACUUAGUGACAUAACGCAAAAAUGGAAAGUCCAAUACUGCAUGUUCUCACUGACAAGUUGGAGCUAAAAAACGGGUAAACACGGACAUACAGAAUGAAAUAAUAGAUAUUGGAGACUACAAAAGGUGGAAGGGUGGGAUGGUGGGAGGGAAGUGAGGGCUGAAAAGUUACCUUUUGGGUACAAUGAUCACUACUCAGGCGAUGGGUACACUAAACCCCAGACUUCACUACUACACGAUAUAGGCAUGUAGGAAACCUGCACUUGUACCCCUUAAAUAUAUAAAAAUAAAUAAAUUAUAUUUAAAAAGAAAGAACACAGAGAAUAUUCAAGAUCUGGUAGUACCUAAUUACCAGUAUUAGAUGAGCACACUUGUCAGGUAAUAACCAAUCGUCUCUCCAACAGUUACUUGGUGGUUAACUACUAAAAUGUAGUCAACAUGGAAGUCACGCCACUAAUUUCUCUUUUCUUAAUAACAGCAUUUGUGCUUGAAGUGAAUGUUUGUCAUAUUUGGUUUCCCAGUAUAUAAACUCAUUCUUAUUUCAGAGGGAUCUCCACUGUGAGAGUCUUUGUUUAAAGGGAGCCAUAACUUCCUGUACAAAUGAAAGACGGGACCAGACACUCCAUCUCUCCACCCAGCCCUGAGAGUUAAGGUGCAGGCAUGUGGCCAAUAACAGGACAAUUAGAUACCACAGUGAGAACUUUGAAGCUUGAGCAAGUGACAUUAAGACAAAGUAAGAGUUAAAAUCCAUUAAUAGUAGUAGUGACAUUAAGAGUUAGAAUUCAUGAAUAGUGGUGGCAUGUAGUGAUGAAGGUGGUGUUGCAGUUUUGAAUGCUGGUGGUUAGCAUGCCUAGCAUGCCUAGAAAGAGUGGUAGAAAAGUGAUAAUAGUGGCACUCUAACCAGGUUGUUUCUUUAAUGCAUUUGUUUCUACUGCCAAGCCUUCCUUAGUUUCUGCUAAUUUUAGGAGUCUUCCAAUUGUUUCUUUGAGCUACUAUUUUGCCAAGUCCAUUUCAGAUUAACUUAAUCAUCUUCUGUUACUUAGACUCAAGCAAUCAGGGUUAUAGAAAACAGAGCCUUAGAAACACAUGGGAAUAAGACAUUGGUUGCCUGUCCUAGGUUGAGGCAAAUGUCAGUCAAAGUCAUAUCAAUAUUUCAGGAUAGAAAUAUGAAAGCUCAUGAUACACAUGGUUACAAAAGAGGAACUUGGAAUGAUUGCAAAAGAGAAGCAAGAGGAGUCUAAGAAUUCAAGAGAGCAAGGUCAGGUGGCUGCUCUUAACAGCACUUGCCAGCUUAAAAAAAGAAAAUAGCAAUUUCAAGUCUCCAUACUGCAUGAUGUAAGGCAUAGAGCUUACCAGAAUAUCUUAUAGCUCAUAACUACAUAACUGAGAUUGCUAAACUAAGCUGAAAGUUUCACCCUAAUGGUUGUUCAAUUACGAUAACAUUGGAAUUCCCAGUCUCACCAUUUCUCAGUGAAAAUAAAAGCAUUGAUUAGGCAUGAGCAAAACUCUUAGGAUUGGAAAAGCAUCUUGAAACCAUAAACCCAUGAAAAGUAUUUGUCCGAAUAAGGGUCUCUUUGUCCUAUGGGUGGAUUCUCAUUCAAGAGUGAAGCCAGUGCUAAAGUCCCAGCUCUUUCAGGCUGUCCAUGUCUUUUAUCAAACUUAAAGCCUCACAUGCUCCAACGAGCUAAUUAAAAGCCAAACUGAGUAGGAGGAAUCUUACAUACACCAAAGUAUUGCUGGAUUUGGUUAUUCUAGAUUAUUGAAAAUCUGACUAGUGAGUAUUGGAAUGUAUUCUGAGUAUACUAGAACAAGGGAGAACAAAUUUAAUCCCAAAUCCAACACGGCAUCUAUUUGAGAGAAAGUCUGAGUAUGCAAGACUGGUUCACACUAUGCAAUAUUAUGAUAGUCCACCCUAGGCAUAGGCCCAUUGACAAAAAUGUAUUGGCUGCAUAUAGAGAAGAGUGUUUACUGUCUCUGGAAGCUAGGAAUGUUGGACUAGAUGCACAUGCUUUUUUCCUGUCCUCACUCUCAAACAAUGAGAAAUGAACCUGGGGAAUGCCAGCAUUUGUGAACAGCACUUCAAUGAUGAUUUCCUAUAUCUUGUGAUGCUACAGUUCAGAUAUACAUUCGUUAAUUUUAAUAGAGUGGGAGGAUUCCAGAGUGUGAGAUGCAAAGUGGUCACCAAAACAGUAAUCAGAGAAGGCAGCAGCACCAGUGUGGGAAACAAGAUGGUCCUAUUCACAGAGGUCUUAGGAAGUAGUUAAUUGAUCACAGGACCUGUAGAACAAAAAUAGAUGAGUAGGCAUCAAGGCCUGAGAAUUUUAGAGCAAACCCAUGUUUGUUUCAGCAAAUAACUAUUCUCUUUUUGACAAAUGACACUUGCCCUGUAACUGGGUACUACCGGAGAUCAAUCUGGUCAUGGGAUAUCAAGUGACAUGCAGUCUGAGUUGACUAGUAAGACUUGGACAUUAUACGCUCCUCCGUUCACAAAUUCACGUCUUCCCAGCAGCAGUCCAUCAUUAACUCAAAGUAAUUUACGUGGAAUUGGAAGUGAGCAGAUCAGGAAGGCACUAGUAAUCAUUCACACUCCCAGCGUAUUUACUCCUUUCACAAUUCUGCCCCCUCUAAAACUACCUAUGGCUUCCUGAGUAAUUUUCCAGGAGAAUCAAAAUACUUUGUGAUCAUCAUAUAGACAUACUAUUGACACUAGACAGAAUGCCACAACAUUUCAGCCAGUUUAGAAGUGGCCCAAGAGGAUUGUGGAGAGGAGAAAUACAUUGGUAAUCCCUCAGUGGCUGCAUUUUAUGAACUUUACCUGUGGAGAGAUUAUCUGGGGUAAGUUUCCACAUUGAUUCAUUGUCAGUAAAUGAUGGUUUUGCCAGGCAUUCUAGAACAAGAUUAGAGAAUGUACAACAAGAAUCUAAGGGUAAAAGGUAUGUGAGAAGUCCUCUCAGAAUGAGCCCAAAGUUUGAAAACAUUCACAUCUCCUAUGAGUAUUCGCAAAAAGUCCCCUAAAGUAAGAGGACUUUAAAUAAACAUAUACACAAGAUGAUCUACCCUGUGGGCAUCUGUUAGCUUCCUUUCCUAACCACUCUAGUGCUUUAACUUAUGAACAAGGGGGCAAGGUAGCAUAGUUAGAGGUUAGCCAUAAAUUCAAAACAUGGAUUUUAAACUUGACCAAGAUGAUUAGUCCAUUGACUGGUUUGUCCCCAGCAGCAGCAAAGCCAGAGCUCCUAUUCUGAUAAUCAUACCUCAAGGCCACCAGUCAUAUGUUCAGUGCCACAUUGAUUCUAUUUGACCCUGUUCCCUCAAGAAGGGGAUAAUAGUCGGUCCUUGCAAGUAUGAGGGCAUUCUGGAUUUAGAUUUGUCUUCUCUGCCCAUCAUUUUUCUGCAAACAACAUCACCUGUGAACCUACUGAGCACCUUGCACAUAAUCACAGUAUCCCAUAAAAUAAAAUUGCAUUCAGGAAUUCACUUUGCAAUUAAAGAACUCAGGCAGUGGGAUGAUGCCAAUGGAAUUCAGGAUCUCAAAACACAGCAUCAACCAGAUGCAGAUGGCUUUGUAGAGUAGUGACGUCAUCUAUAUGACUCAGUCUCAGCAGGGAGAUAACUCCUUCUCAAGUUGGGGUGCAGUCUUAUAAAAUGCAAUAUACAUUCUGAUGCUAUGAACAAUAGAUGUUACUAUCUUUCCAUAGGUAGAAUCAAAGUCUCUGGAAUCUAAGGGGUAAAUGCAUGAAUAGUCACUCUCAGAUAAAUGACCCAUUUACAAUUUACUUUUACUCAGCUUCCUCAAUUCUGGGCUCUUCCAAGUUUAGAGGUUUUCAUAAUAAAGGGAGAACUUCCAUCUCUACAGGCCAAUGAUAUUAUGGGAUCUGAGACUGCCGCAUAGACAUUUUAGGCCCCUAUGAAUAAACAGGCUGUCUUCUGUUACUGAUACUAUCUUUUUGAUAGUCAGGAUUAGGAUUGUUGCAUGCAGCAAAAAGGGUUAUGGAAAUGGAAACCAGAGGAGCCUUUAUGUUGACUCAUUAUUCUAUCAUUCCCAGUGGCGGAAAAUAAUGGACCUUUACAUCCCUUGUAGAUAGGAUCGCCAACAUUUGGGUUUCCACGCUGGGUAAGAAACCAGAUCAAAUGAGUUGCUAGGGAGAAGCAAAAGGAACACGGAUUGGUUGUGGAGAAGGAAGGUGCUAAACACUAACUUCAUGAACUAGCUUUCUUGCCAGUUAUCCAUAAUUUCUAGAGCCUUCAUCCAUAAUUUCUCUUUGUUGUGGAAAUGUGAUUUUAUAUGUUUCAAUUUCCCUUUUGGUUUCUAUCUCUCUCCCCCACAGUUACCUAUAGGGUGUGUUGUCUGUGGCCAACUUUAAACUUGCUCCAUAGGUUGCAGAAUAUCUAACCAAGAUCACCGCAGAAUAAGGAGAGAAAUGGCCCACCACCUGGAAGGCUGUAACGUGGAGCCAUAAGCAGAUAUUGAGAAUGUGGGAUGUCUCCCUUUGGGGAAAAGGACAUACAAGGAGAAGUCAGCAGUCUGCAACAUCGAACAGGACCCUUACCAGAACCCAACCAGUCUGGCACCCUGAACCCAGACUUCCAGCCUCCAGAAUGGUGAGAAAUAAAUUUCUUUUGCUUAUAAAACACCCAGUUCAUAGUAUGUUCUUAUAGCAGCCUGAACAGACUAAGACAGAGGAUAUCUGUGGUAUAUUUUUAACAAAAUCAUAGACAGCACAAAGCAGGCUGGAGAAAGAAUGGGGGUGGAGUAUGAGGAAUAGAACACAAUGAAUGACUGAAUCAGAAUGGAAUAGAUACACAAUCAGCUGGAGUCAAGGUCCAAAUAAAAUAAGAUGAAAUAUAGUAAAUACAAAUAUGGAAUUCUGCAUGAUCAAAAAAACAGCUGCA
rnacentral:lncRNA from 1 species